rnacentral:rRNA from 1 species
GGGUUGUGAGGUUAAGCGACUAAGCGUACACGGUGGAUGCCCUGGCAGUCAGAGGCGAUGAAGGACGUGCUAAUCUGCGAAAAGCGUCGGUAAGGUGAUAUGAACCGUUAUAACCGGCGAUGUCCGAAUGGGGAAACCCAGUGCAAUUCGUUGCACUAUCGUUAACUGAAUACAUAGGUUAACGAGGCGAACCGGGGGAACUGAAACAUCUAAGUACCCCGAGGAAAAGAAAUCAACCGAGAUUCCCCCAGUAGCGGCGAGCGAACGGGGAGCAGCCCAGAGUCUGAAUCAGCUUGUGUGUUAGUGGAACGGUCUGGAAAGUCCGACGGUACAGGGUGAUAGUCCCGUACACCAAAAUGCACAGGCUGUGAACUCGAAGAGUAGGGCGGGACACGUGGUAUCCUGUCUGAAUAUGGGGGGACCAUCCUCCAAGGCUAAAUACUCCUGACUGACCGAUAGUGAACCAGUACCGUGAGGGAAAGGCGAAAAGAACCCCGGCGAGGGGAGUGAAAAAGAACCUGAAACCGUGUACGUACAAGCAGUGGGAGCACCUUCGGGUGUGACUGCGUACCUUUUGUAUAAUGGGUCAGCGACUUAUAUUCUGUAGCAAGGUUAACCGUAUAGGGGAGCCGCAGGGAAACCGAGUCUUAACUGGGCGUUAAGUUGCAGGGUAUAGACCCGAAACCCGGUGAUCUAGCCAUGGGCAGGUUGAAGGUUGGGUAACACUAACUGGAGGACCGAACCGACUAAUGUUGAAAAAUUAGCGGAUGACUUGUGGCUGGGGGUGAAAGGCCAAUCAAACCGGGAGAUAGCUGGUUCUCCCCGAAAGCUAUUUAGGUAGCGCCUCGUGAACUCAUCUUCGGGGGUAGAGCACUGUUUCGGCUAGGGGGUCAUCCCGACUUACCAACCCGAUGCAAACUACGAAUACCGAAGAAUGUUAUCACGGGAGACACACGGCGGGUGCUAACGUCCGUCGUGAAGAGGGAAACAACCCAGACCGCCAGCUAAGGUCCCAAAGUCAUGGUUAAGUGGGAAACGAUGUGGGAAGGCACAGACAGCCAGGAUGUUGGCUUAGAAGCAGCCAUCAUUUAAAGAAAGCGUAAUAGCUCACUGGUCGAGUCGGCCUGCGCGGAAGAUGUAACGGGGCUAAACCAUGCACCGAAGCUGCGGCAGCGACACUAUGUGUUGUUGGGUAGGGGAGCGUUCUGUAAGCCUGCGAAGGUGACCUGUGAGGGUUGCUGGAGGUAUCAGAAGUGCGAAUGCUGACAUAAGUAACGAUAAAGCGGGUGAAAAGCCCGCUCGCCGGAAGACCAAGGGUUCCUGUCCAACGUUAAUCGGGGCAGGGUGAGUCGACCCCUAAGGCGAGGCCGAAAGGCGUAGUCGAUGGGAAACAGGUUAAUAUUCCUGUACUUGGUGUUACUGCGAAGGGGGGACGGAGAAGGCUAUGUUAGCCGGGCGACGGUUGUCCCGGUUUAAGCAUGUAGGCUGGUUGUCCAGGCAAAUCCGGAUAAUCAAGGCUGAGGUGUGAUGACGAGGCACUACGGUGCUGAAGUAACAAAUGCCCUGCUUCCAGGAAAAGCCUCUAAGCAUCAGGUAACAUUAAAUCGUACCCCAAACCGACACAGGUGGUCAGGUAGAGAAUACCAAGGCGCUUGAGAGAACUCGGGUGAAGGAACUAGGCAAAAUGGUGCCGUAACUUCGGGAGAAGGCACGCUGGUGUGUAGGUGAAGUCCCUGCGGAUGGAGCUGAGACCAGUCGAAGAUACCAGCUGGCUGCAACUGUUUAUUAAAAACACAGCACUGUGCAAACACGAAAGUGGACGUAUACGGUGUGACGCCUGCCCGGUGCCGGAAGGUUAAUUGAUGGGGUUAUCCGUAAGGAGAAGCUCUUGAUCGAAGCCCCGGUAAACGGCGGCCGUAACUAUAACGGUCCUAAGGUAGCGAAAUUCCUUGUCGGGUAAGUUCCGACCUGCACGAAUGGCGUAAUGAUGGCCAGGCUGUCUCCACCCGAGACUCAGUGAAAUUGAACUCGCUGUGAAGAUGCAGUGUACCCGCGGCAAGACGGAAAGACCCCGUGAACCUUUACUAUAGCUUGACACUGAACAUUGAGCCUUGAUGUGUAG